rnacentral:rRNA from 1 species
GACGAACGCUGGCGGCGUGCCUAACACAUGCAAGUCGAACGGAAAGGCACUGCGUUUGUGGGGUGCUCGAGUGGGGAACGGGGGAGUAACACGUGAGUAACCUGCCCUUGACUUUGGGAGAACUUCAGGAAACUGGGGCUAAUAUCGGAUAGGAGCUCCUGCUGCAUGGGGGGGGGUGGAAAGUUGCGGCGGUUGGGGAUGGACUAGCGGGUUAUCAGCUGGCUGGUGGGGUAGGGGCUGACCCAGGCUGUGACGGGUAGCCGGCAUGGGAGGGGGAACGGCGUCCAUGCGCCUACGGUACGGCGCAGACUCGUACGGGGGGCAGCGGUGGAGAGUAUUACACAAUGAGCGCGCGCGUGUUGAGAAAGCCCCGCGUGCGUAAUGACGGCCUUCGGGUUGAGAACCGCUUUCGCCUGUGACGAAGCGUGAGUGACGGUACUGAAUAAAGAAGCACCGGCUAACUACGUG